UUGAAAUUCACAAUGGCUUCUGUUUGAUUAUAAAACUUACCGAGUUGGUAAUAUGAUUUGUCCUGCCUAAUUCUUGCUCUUACAUCGGCACCACAUCCAAAAUUGUCACGAAAGAAAGAAAACUUAAAAAACAAAAAAAGAAAAAUGAUUAAUCUGCACUCUUGCUACAUUUUGGUGUAGUAUUUAUAAAUAUCUUUUAAAGCUUCUUACCAUUAGUUCAUUUAAUACUAGAAUAUGUUAUGUGAUACUUGAACGCAAAGAUGCGACUCAUAUGAUGUUUCUUCAUGAGUCUUUAACUUUAUAACUGUAACAGAAGAGCUAUGUGAAAAUGCUUGCUCUAUCUUUUGUAUAUGUCCUUUGUGCAUUCCACUGCUUAUAACUCCAUAUUUCAAUUUAUUUUCAGAAAAUUAAUGGCGAGUACUGCAUGCUUUGUCAUUGUCAGUAAGAAUGAUACUCCUAUUUAUGAAGCUGAACUGGGGUCUGCAUUUAAAGUAUACUUUCUGUUCCUUGACUGAUCGUCUGCAUGGAAUUUCUUUUAUAUUUACUUUGAUUAUGUGGAAAAAAAUCUGUUUACACUCAAGUGUCUGAGAUUUUUUUUCAUUUACUCCUAUUAUUUUAAUUAGUCAUUUUGUUAUGAAAAAUUCAAAUGUAUAUUUUUGCUUAUUUUCCUUACAGUGGUGCUUAAGUGCGCUUUGAAUGAGCUAACAGAUUUUGCAACUUCAUCCCUUUGAUUUUCAUAAGCCAUUUAUGGCCUUGCUGUUGCAACUAGGAACCUGUUUUGUGCUUAUCAAUAUUGUACUGAUGUUAUCUGUUGUUAUGAGGAGUUGAAGAGCCUGCUCACACUAAUGAUCAUUUUCCUCAUUACCUUGUUCAUUAAAGCCGAUUCCCUAAGACUAUCAUUUCUGUUGGGUCCACAUUUUGUUUUCCCUUAUGUAUUUAUUAUUUUGACUACUUGGACAAUUCUUCUCUGCUUGUAGUGUUUCACUUUUUUUCCUUGGAUUUUGUUGACAUAAAAAUGUUUAUUUGCCUUGUAAUAUUGACAGGACAUAACUAGAAAUGUGCUCAUUCUUCUAUAAGUAUUAAAUGUCUCUAGAAUAAAUAAAGCUUGAUAUACUUCUAAUGUCCAAAGAGUUUCUGAAUAUUGGUGGACCUCAAAUAGUUUUGAAGGCAAUUGACAGGUUCAAUGAUCUGGUGGUGUCCGUUUAUGUCACUGCUGGUCAUAUCCUAAUAAAUCUAUAUUUUCCCACUUGAUAGUUCCUGUAGAUUAUUUCCUGAAGUUUAUGAAGAGUCUAGGUUAUGUAUAUGUUUAUUCUUAUAUCCUUGCAGAAUGUAUGAGAGUGACAGUCGAAUUCAAGUUUGUUCUGAAGUGAUGUUGCUAAUUAUGAUACAUACUGUGUAAAAGAUCCUCCAAAUGAACAAAUGCAUGCACUCACACAAAUACAAGAAAGUAUUGAUGUUUACACAGACACUAAACAAAUAGAGAGUUCUGUCGAAAUUGUCUCUUUAUACUAUACUUCGUAGAUGACUCAUAUUCUUUUGAUAGUCUCCACAUUAAGAGUAUUUUGUAGUUCUAAAAGGUGUAAUUGUACUAUCUAAAAUGCAAUAUAUAGUUUCAGCAAUCUUUUAUUUUCUUUGACCUACCAUGCCAUACACACUAGAUUGAUGCUUCUUCAUGAUCUGCGUAAUGAGGAUGGAAUAAAAAGCUUCUUUCAAGAGGUUCAUGAACUUUAUAUAAAGGUAAUAUCACUACUACCUAUUUUUAUGGUUGCAUUCUAUCAAUUCCUUUCAUGAGAUUCAUUUAACAGUAACAUUGAGCUUUGGACAUGGAUAUGGAGCAUCAUAAUGAAUACUUGGAUUAGGCAAAUCUUAAAAGAACCUAGAUUUUACACAAGAACGCACACACAAAGGUCCUGUCAGCCGUCAGCAUUAAAUCCUGAAGGAAAACACACAAUUGACAACCAAUACCAAAUUACCAACACAUAUUUACGGCCUUAUCAUUUUAAUGAUAAAUAUCUAAUAGUUGAUUUCCUUAUAUUUUGUGGCUAAAGAAUAUACUCUUUGAAUUUUUUCCCUUCUUUUCUUCAACGUUUGACACGUUUUGAAUAAAUAUAUGAUAAAAGGAUUGUUUUUCACUUCUUUUAUUAUUGCCACAUGGGUUCUAAGAUAUCCCAUAAACUUGAGCUUUCCUCCUUUGUAAUGAUUUCACGUAUUAUGUAAAUGUGCAAAUAUCCACGUUUAACUGUGCAUAAUUUUAUAGGAUCAACGUCGUCUUGGUGCUAUAAUUUUGCCAACCCAGGAUGAAGUUGUAGCCUUGGCAAAAAAGUUGUCAAUUCUGAAUGGUGAUGCUGCUGAGCUCAGUAAAGAGAAGAUAUUGAAUCUGUUGUAUGAUGAAUUAAGAAGAUGGGUUUUUAGGUGUCUUCCCCCUCCUUUUCUGGGAGCAAGGUAUUUGAAACUCCUCGAUCCUGUACUCGCGCAUCAUCCACCCUGAAUCCCAAUGUUUUCCCUCCAGAUACCGUUUGGCGUGGAACGCGCUGGCCUCUUCCCUCCAAGGUACUUCCGGGUCCUAUCCGUGAAAAAGUACCAACUUCUAUGCUGCUCGCUUGAUUGGUAUUCCUCUGCGUAAUAGAAAUUAACAAGUUAUAUCUGAACAGAUCAAAUUUGAAUAUUCAAUCGUAACUAACCAUGCUAGAUAAGGUUGCGAAUAUACCCUGUACUAUCGCCAAUUUGAACUUACUAUGCGUGUUGUUCUAUUGGUGCUUUCUUAUGAAGUGAAAAAAGAUGAAAAAGGAAUAACUUAUUAGUAGAGAGUAUGGGUUGUAACAAAGGCUGGGUUGUGAGUUUUUUUUACGAAGUUGAUAGUUGCAGUGAGACCGUGAUCUUUGAGUGCAUUACGGGCUGCACACUGACUUCAGAUCCUUAAUAUACACAAUCAUAAACAUAUACAUCAGAUUCAUCCAAAAAUAAAGAGGGAGUUCACAUAGGGACUGACCAAUGAGAGCAGGAGCAUCAAAUUCGUAUAGGUGAACUUCGUUGAUGACAUUUUUGCAUGGAAGCGUUUGGUUGUGAAUUCUUUUGUAGAGGUAUUUACAGAUGAUUUGUUCGUCGUUGGGGCAGAAUAUCCAUCCGGGGGGCAUCUUUCCAGCAUUGUCUUCCCUUUUGGUCUCCAUUGCAUCCAUGUUAAAAUUUCUAACCAUCAUGUUAUUUUCAGGUAUUUGUUCACACACUUUCCCUUUGUUAUCUUCAGCACGAAAACCUGUAGACAGUUGAAAUGAGAGAUAAGUAAUACAGAAGUUAAGUUGUUUAAUUCAA